ensembl:lncRNA
AUGGAUACACCUGUAACCCUCAAAGAAUUGAUCCCAAUUUACCGAUGGGGAAGUGACAUCAGAGAGAGGCCAAGCACUUGCCCAGGGUCAUUUGAUCACAGGAAACAGCCUUUCGGAAGCCUUGUUCCAGAAUUUGUGCUUCUAGUCCCAGCGGAUGGGGCUCCAGGCGCAAUACACACUGCUCUUCUCCAGACCUAUCCUGAGAGUUAUCCUCAGUAGGAGGUUGGUAUGAAUUAUCUGGGCCACCAUCACUUCUUUUCUAUAUCUCAAGAAGAAAUGAAGCAGGCCUUAAAAGUAAAAAGAAGUGGAGUUCCCGUUGUGGCGCAGCGGAAAUGAAUCCAACUAGGAACCAUGAGGUGGCAGGUUUGAUCCCUGGCCUUGCUCAGUGGGUUAAGGAUCUGGCGUUGCCGUGAACCGUGGUGUAGGUCGCAGACAUGCCUCAGGUCUGGUGUUGCUGUGGCUGUGGUGUAGGCUGGCAACUACAGCUCUGAUUCAACCCCUAGCCUGGGAACCUCCAUGUGCCGAGAGUGCAGGCCUAAAAAGACAAAUAGACCAAAAAAAAAAGAAAAAGUAAAGAGGUGUGGAAGAGUCCAAGAGUCCAAGGAUUUAAUGCUUCUUUAUUUUAUUUUACAAUAUUUCUCUAUUUUUUAAACUUCUGUUAUUUAAGUGACUUAGAAAGAUAUCCUGAAGAUCUAAACAGACAGUUCUCCAAAGAAGACAUACCGAUGGCCAAAAAACACAUGAAAAGAUGUUCAACAUCACCCAUUAUUAGAGAAAUGCAAAUCAAAAGCACUAUGAGGAACCACCUUACACCAGCCAGAAUGGCCAUCAUCAAAAAGAGGGUGUGGAGAAAAUGGAACCCUAUUACACUGUUGGUGGGAAUGUAAAUUGGUGCAACCACUGUGGAAAACAGUAUGGAGAUUCCUCAGAAAACUAAAAAUAGAUCUACCUUUUGAUCCAGCAAGCCCACUCCUGGGCAUCUAUCCAGAGAAAACCAUGACUCGCAAAGACAUGUGUACUCCAAUGUUCACCGCAGCACUAUAUGCAAUAGCCAAGACAUGGAAACAACCUAAAUGUCCAUCAACAGAGGAGUGGCUCAAGAAGAUGUGGUACACAUACACAAUGGAAUAUUACUGAGCCAUUAAAAGGAACAAAAUACCUGCAUUUUUAGCAACAUGGAUGGACGGCAUUAGAGUAAUGGGGCAGGAGUGCUGGGGGGGCACCCACGGGAGCUGGCCACACACGUCAACAUCAUCAGCCUCAUCAGUCAGAAGUGAGGCAGAACCAGUAUGGAAAUCGCUUGGCUGGAUGCCCUCUAAGAUCCCAGCCAGGCCUACAUGUUCUGUUUCUGUGAUUUCCCAUAGAGGGAGUUGAAGGGGCAGAAGGCAGGGGACGGGGUGGCAAAAGAACCCCUGGCAUGUUCCUAAGGACUGAGAUGAGGACAAAAUAGAAUACCAUGGACUGUGGGGAAAAGAGAGCCCUCCUACACUGGGAGGAGGUGGGAAUGUUGGUGGGAAUGUAAAAUUGUGCAACCACUGUAGAGAACAGUAUGGAGGUUCCUUAAAAAAUUAAAUAAUUUGGAGUUCCCGUCGUGGCGCAGUGGUUAACGAAUCCGACUAGGAACCAUGAGGUUGCGGGUUUGAUCCCUGCUCAGUGGGUUAACGAUCCGGCAUUGCUGUGAGCUGUGGUGUAGGUUGCAGACGCGGCUCGGAUCCUGUGUUGUUGUGGCUCUGGCGUAGGCCGGUGGCUGCAGCUCCAAUUCGACCCCUAGCCUGGGAACCUCCAUGUGCUGUGGGAGUGGCCCAAGAAAUGGCAAAAAGACAAAAGUAAAUAAAUAAAUAAAUAAAAUAAAGGGAUCGCCA